CUGAUCCUUCUCUAGACCUUCCCCUGGUCCUUCCCCUGAUCCUUCUCUAGACCUUCCCCAGGUCCUUCCCCUGAUCCUUCUCUAGACCUUCCCCAGGUCCCUCCCCUGAUCGUUCUCUAGACCUUCCCCUGGUCCUUCCCCAGACCUUCCCCUGGUCCUUCUCUAGACCUUCCCCAGGUCCUUCCCCUGGUCCUUCUCUAGACCUUCCCCAGGUCCCUCUCCUGAUCCUUCUCUAGAUCUUCCCCUGGUCCCUCCCCUGAUCUCACCAAGACCUGGAGCGUUGGUCCUGGGGCUGCCAGCCUAUCCUGGCUGCCUGGGAGCAGGGACUUUAUCCCAUUUACCCAAAGAUAAGACUUUUGGGGGCAGUGUGUUCCCUUGGGCUGGCUGUGAGCAUUUUGAAAACCAUCCUUAGUUCAGGAGAGUAUGUGUCUGAGCAGAGUCCUUACCAGGUGGAAGUCUGGAAGUGUGGGUCUCGGAACCCUGACCUUGGUGCCCCCUGUCGGGUUCUGGGCCCAUUGCUGCCUCAGUCCCGGCCCCGCACGGUUAGCUGUAGGAAGCGGUCUGCCUCUCACUUGUAGGAAGGAGUUAGUUUCCUGGGUCUGUAAAUAAGAAGGGAACGAUGUGCCAGAAGCCUCCGACAGCAAAGCUUUCACUGGGUGAUGUACCGGCCCCUGGUCCCCGAGAGUUCUCGCUGGUGUGCCCCAUGGGGGAGGGAGUCCUGCUGGCACCGUGUUACUACGGUUGAGGGAGGUGUGGGGGCUCGUGCUUUCUACAGAGUAGAUCUUGAGUCCGUACUGGGGAGGUAGUCCAGGGUCCUCAUUUUUCUGCCUCAUCAAAUACUCCUUAAAGCUCCCUUUUCCACUCAGAGAUGUGUCCUCAGGAGAGUAUCAGAUCAUUCGUGAAAGCAGAGCCAUGUCUACUGACGGACUGAGGUGGCCCCGACUCUCACACUCCGUCAGUGGAAGAAUGAAAAGAUGGUGGGGGCUUGGGAGAGCGUUCUAGUGGGUCCUGUGCGUGUCGCUGUCACCUUUGAUCCUCUGGGACUGUUGGAAGUGGUGGCCACCUGUGGGAACAAGGAGGAAGGUCUACCCUUUCUGGCGUUCUGGGGACCGCUGGUGGCACUGUUGGCGUACUGUCAUGCUGUAAAGAGAUGUGAUGGUGACCGUCCUCAUUCAGGCCAGGGAAUGUGAGGUUACAGCCUGGUUCAAAUCCUAGCCCUUACAGCGGGCGGCCAUCCUCAACAGAUU